rnacentral:misc_RNA from 1 species
GACGAAUUAAAUAACAAUGGAUAGUGAAAUAGUUGAACGACUAACAAAGCUUGGUUUCGUCAAGACUUCACACACGCACAUCGCUGGCGAGCCCCUCGUGAUUCAUGCUGUUGCUGGGGCCGGUAAAACCACCCUCCUUCGGUCCUUACUUGAAUUACCGGGCGUGGAAGUCUUCACAGGCGGGGAGCACGAUCCUCCAAAUUUGUCAGGGAAAUAUAUCCGCUGCGCUGCACCCCCUGUGGCCGGUGCAUACAACAUUCUCGACGAGUACCCCGCGUACCCAAAUUGGCGAUCGCAACCCUGGAACGUCCUAAUCGCCGACAACCUACAAUACAAAGAACCCACAGCUCGCGCCCACUACACAUGCAAUCGCACUCACCGCCUGGGGCAGCUCACUGUCGACGCUUUGUGUAGGGUUGGUUUCGACAUCACCUUCGCCGGCACGCAGACUGAAGACUACGGAUUCCAGGAAGGCCAUCUCUACACCAGUCAAUUUUACGGACAGGUCAUUUCACUUGACACGCAGGCCCAUAAGAUCGCUGUGCGCCACGGACUUGCACCCCUGUCCGCUUUAGAAACCCGGGGGCUGGAAUUUGAUGAGACCACUGUGAUAACGACUAAAACCUCGCUGGAGGAAGUGAAGGAUAGGCACAUGGUCUAUGUCGCUCUCACACGGCACAGGCGCACCUGCCAUCUCUACACCGCUCACUUUGCGCCCUCCGCCUGACAACACGAAAGCCAUACUAACUAUAGCUAUAGGAAUAGCCGCCUCCCUCGUCUUUUUCAUGCUCACACGCAACAAUCUGCCACACGUCGGUGAUAACAUCCACUCACUACCCCACGGAGGAAGUUACAUUGACGGUACCAAGUCCAUCAACUACCGCCCACCUGCGUCACGCUACCCCUCAUCUAACUUACUCGCUUUCGCUCCACCAAUACUCGCCGCAGUGCUCUUUUUCCUCACACAGCCAUAUCUAGCUACCAGACGAUCCAGGUGCGUUCGGUGCUUCGUUGUCCACGGCGCAUGCACGAAUCACACCUAGUUGUUAUAUUAGCGCUGUUACUUUUAGCUCUGUGGUGUCUUAGCACUCGACCCGUUCAACCAUCGUGCCAUGUCGAAAUCAACGGCCACUCCAUCAUCGUCACCGGAAACUGCUGGCACUCCACUCAACGACCGCAUUGAGGGUGUUAGGGUAACCAACAUCAGUGAAGAGAAACAACCCACCUCGAGUGUGACCUCAUCAUUUCAGGACACAAUGGCACCACAAGAUGCCGACGUCACUGAUGCGACGGACUACAAGAAACCGCCUGCUGAAACUGAGCAGAAGGCACUCACCAUUCAACCACGGUCAAACAAGGCGCCCAGUGACGAGGAGUUGGUACGCAUCAUCAACGCGGCGCAGAAGCGAGGCCUCACACCCGCGGCCUUUGUUCAAGCAGCUAUAGUCUUCACCAUGGAAUCCAUGGACAAGGGCGCCACCGACUCCACGAUUUUCACGGGAAAAUACAACACUUUCCCAAUGAAAAGUCUGGCGCUAGCUUGCAAAGAUGCUGGCGUGCCCGUGCACAAACUUUGCUACUUCUAUACCAAGCCGGCUUACGCGAACCGUAGGGUCGCCAACCAGCCGCCUGCUCGCUGGACCAACGAGAAUGUGCCCAAAGCUAACAAGUGGGCGGCUUUCGACACCUUCGACGCACUUCUCGACCCAUACGUAGUCCCAUCCUCUGUACCGUACGAUGAGCCCACGCCAGAGGAUCGCCAAGUCAAUGAGAUUUUCAAGAAGGACAAUUUGAGUCAGGCAGCAUCCAGAAACCAACUCCUAGGAACGCAAGCCUCCAUCACGCGCGGGAGACUCAACGGCGCACCAGCACUACCAAACAACGGGCAGUACUUCAUCGAGGCACCUCAGUGAUCAGUAGUAUGAUACCAAUAAAUAAAUCGGGCGAAUCCGCGCCUCCUGACUAUGGGCAGGUUUACGGACCAAGCUGUAUCGAGAUACGACCUAACAGUAACGCAGCUAAGGGGUGAAUGCA